UUACCUCUGAAGAGUCCCAAAUUAGGACGAAACAGCUGUCCAGUAC
rfam:Trichobilharzia regenti genome assembly, scaffold: TRE_scaffold0038400